UAGCGUAUAUUAAAGUUGUUGCAGUUAGAACGCUCGUAGUCGGAUUUCGGUAUGGGCCGACCUGUCUGCCGAUGGGUACGCACGGGUCGGCGCAUGCUUCCUUCCGGAUACCUUUCUUACUCUUAACUGAGCGAGGUCGGGAUACGGAAUUUUUACUUUGAAAAAAUCAGAGUGUUUCAAGCAGGCAGCUCGCUCUUGCAUGGAUUAGCAUGGGAUAAUGAAAUAGGACUUUGGUGCUAUUUUGUUGGUUUCGAACACCGAAGUAAUGAUGAGAAGGGACAGUCAGGGGCACUCGUAUUCCGCCGAGAGAGGUGAAAUUCUCAGACCAGCGGAAGACGAACCACUGCGAAAGCAUUUG
rnacentral:rRNA from 1 species